CAAAAGAAUCAGUUCCAUGUUCCAUGCUUGGAACAUCUUUUCUUCAGGUUAUGGAAAACUUGCUUAAACAUUCUGAGUUUUUUCUUCCUAGUUUGUAAAACAGGUUCUUCAUCUCAGUUUCCUUUGAAGCGACCAGGUGCUGCUGCCUAAGCAUGAAAGGAGCAGUGGCUGCUAGGAAAAGCAAGAGAGAAUUGUAUUCCUUUUACACAGCUUUCAUAAUUAUGACUGGUCCUGGACAAAGUUACUCUUGAGUGUCAGGCUCACUAUCAGAGAGCCAUUAUAUUUUGAAAGAUAUGCCUUCUUUCAUCAUCAUCUUGUUCAGAAGAAUGGGAUAGUGUGAGGUUAAAAAGAGAAGGUUGGAAGACUCUGAGGAAUACCAUCAUUCCAAGACUAUAGAUUUAUCCACAAAUAUAUGGAACUGAUAGAACUUCAGGAAUUCCAGUUUGUGGUGUAGACAUGAAUCUCUGGUUUAAAUAUGAAUAUGCAUGACAGCAACACGAAGUUAUCCCACUUCAGCUCUUUUAAGAGAGGCCC